rnacentral:lncRNA from 1 species
CAAAUUUAUUUUGUUUCGUUUUGAUGGUUGUGUAUGGUUUAAUGUUUUGCUCAGUAAUUCUUCACUUCUUUUUCUUGGUUGAGGAUUGAAGGGAUAGUAUAACUGUGGAACAUAACCAAUGGAUAAUAGCUUCUUUACCCUAUUUUUUGGUUUCUUAGUUUUUUCAUCCAUGUUCAUACGACUCCUAAAAUUCUAACAUGCUCAAAAUUGAUUUAGAGCAACUCUUCCUAGUUUCCAAAUUGAGGCGAUGAAAGAGUCAGUGCUACAGAUUCCCAGCUCAUGCUUUUCAAAUUUGCAGACGAUUUUGCGGCCAUUUGAUAUUCUUCGUUUAAGCAUCUGUCUGUUGCAGGUGAAUUGAAAAAGAAAAUAGAGCAAAAAAGAUAAUGAGUCUGUCAGACAACUAUGAGGCCAUCCCAGGCCUGCAAACAGAGCUAAGAACGAUCCUCUACAGCUCCAUGGCCACUAGGGACCAUAGGAAGCUAUUAAUCACGCUCUGGACUUAUUUAUUGUCAUUUAAUAUAUUUAUUGAUCAUCAUUUCCUCACCACAUGCUUGUAACUGUGCCAUUUAAUAUCCAUUGUAUUCAAUUAGUUUAAACGCAAUUCAACGUUAUUGUGUAACCAGUUACAGAUGUAGGAUUUAUUAUGUUUAACUAGGAUUUACCCAUUAUUCUCUUAUUUAAUUAGUUUAACAAAAAGGCUUUAUACUUUUUGGUCAAACAAAAAUACUACCCCGAAAGUUUAAGGCGAUAGUGAAAACUGAAUCCAAAUUUAUUUUGUUUCGUUUUGAUGGCUGUGUAUGGUUUAACGUUUUGCUCAGUAAUUCUUCACUUCUUUUUCUUGGUUGAGGAUUGAAGGGAUAGUAUAAUUGUUGAACAUAACCAAUGGAUAAUAGCUUCUUUACCCUAUUUUUUGGUUUCUUAGUUUUUUCAUCCAUGUUCAUACGACUCCUAAAAUUCUAACAUGCUCAAAAUUGAUUUAGAGCAACUCUUCCUAGUUUCCAAAUUGAGGCGAUGAAAGAGUCAGUGCUACAGAUUCCCAGCUCAUGCUUUUCAAAUUUGCAGACGAAAAAAGAGGCGGUCAUUUGAUAUUCUUCGUUUAAGCAUCUGUCNNNNNNNNNNNNNNNNNNNUNUGNNUGUUGCAGGUGAAUUGAAAAAGAAAAUAGAGCAAAAAAGAUAAUGAGUCUGUCAGACAGCUAUGAGGCCAUCUCAGGCCUGCAAAUAGAGCUAAGAACGAUCCUCUACAGCUCCAUGGCCACU